GCACGUUGCAGGGUUGUACACAAUUCCAGUUCGUUGUUUAUCAGUAGACCGUGAUAACUCCUGGGCUCCCCGUUUAAAAAGCAUCUUCCAAACCGCUCCUCACAGCUAGGGUGUGUCUGUCUGUCAAUGAGGCAUUUAGAAAAGACACCCUAAUAGCAUAUUUGUGAAUGGCUACAAUACAGAAAUUCAGAACAGCCAGGAAACAAGAUACUUGUGGGUGGGCUACCUUAUUUCCCAGAGAGAUAAAAACACAUCAGCAAUCUCUAGUUAUGGUGAAGAGAAUAAUGGCUGUUGCAGUAUCAGGUAUUACUUACUUACGUGGAAUUUUCCCUGAAGAUGCAUACAGCACCCAUUAUUUAGAAGAUCUGUGUGUUAAAGUUUUGCGAGAAGACAGCAUCUAUCCAAGAGUAUCCAAAAUUGUUAAAUGGAUGAAAGGAUGCUUUGAGGCAGUAGAAAAAAAAUAUCUGCAAAUGAUGAUUCUCGGAGUUAGAGUUUUUUCUACAAAGUGGAGGUUGGAUCAAAGAAUGGAUGCUAAUGUAAAGGCGUGCUGUGCUGCCAGAUCAGAAUUUCUAUGCUUGAAAGAUUAGAGCCACAUGUACAAAAGCACUUAGAUAAAUUAAUUUAUCAACCCAGUAGAGCUGCUGGAGACUCAAAAGUGUACAGAAGGACACAACUAACCCAAAUAACAUGAUAGAAUCUUAUCAAUUUAAAUUCAGAUAUACAUCAAAGGGACCACAGAUGGAUGUAUUCAGCAAUAAGAAAACUAAUUUAACAAAUGAUGCAACAGAAGACAUAAAGAGAACCUGUCUUCUUCUAAUUAAUAACCUCUAUUUUCUGAUGGAAAAUAUUGUUUCUCUUCCUAAUGAUGUCUCUCUCACUAUGAAGCUAUUUUAUUAUGCAAAUGGCAAGUAUUAGGAUUUAUUUGUAAAACUUUAUUUAAACAAACAAAAAAUCUGAAUAGAAUGGAACACAUACAUUUUACACAAAAAGAGAAAAAAGACAAAAAAUAAAGUAAAAUGAACAUGACAUGUACCAGUUAUCACUUUGCCUAUAUUUUACAUUGCUUUCUCCCACCUUUUGUCUCUUGUGUAUUUAUAUUGUAAAUACAGUACUUCCAUGCAGGGACCAGCUCUAUCUGUGUGUUUGCACAGUGCCAACAGAAGGAUACACCAAUUCCAGCUGGGGCCUCUAGGCACCACUGUAUUAUAAAUAAAUAAUAAGUAUGAUAUGAAAAGCAGAACUCUCUCUAAUAAAAUUAAUUUUAAAUUUUCCUUGAGGUAUCAGAGAGUGAGUCUUCAAACGUGGGAAUGACCUUCAAUUUUUAUCAUCAUAGAUCUUCAUACUCCACAUUUUGUCCUUAGUUACUUAACAUGUACUUAAAGUAAACAUCUGAUCGUCUCCAUAAUGCCACAAUAAAAUGUCAUCUAAAUUGUAAAUAUUUGAAAACUACAGGUUUUUUUUAAAUACGUACCUGUUUCCUAUUGGUAUUUAAAGGAAUUAAGGACUCAUGUUCAUACAAAUAGAAUUGCCCACAUGUUUAGAAAUGAGCCACUAUUACUACUAUUUAUUAUAAUAAUGAAUUAUUAUUAAUGUAGUGCAUUUAUGAGCAAGAGGAUUCUCUCAGGUGUGUGUUUGUUUUUAAUAGUGACCCCUCCAGAAUACCAGCCUCCUGGCUUUAAAGAGGUAGAGUCAGAGUUUAUCUUAUUCGAAGGCAUUCCUGUGCAUGUGAAGGUGGGAGAAAUAGAAACAUCUUUCCAUACGUUAAAGCUGAAGAUUCUUAAAAGAGAGGAGAGGAUAGAUUCAAUGGAUAUACAUGGCAUCCUGAAAGAAUGUAGAGAAGAUGCAGAAAGAGAAAAGGAACAGAGGCGGGACACUUUAGGAGAAUAUAUUAAUACAGAAUAUGAACCACCAGGAUCUGAAGAGGAAUUUGUUGAUAAAUACCACAAGGUCAAUGAUGAAGCUACAAGAAAGAGGAAGAUAUCAAAGAAGAAAAAGAAGAAUAAAUAAGGAAUGUAUGCAUGUGCAAGUACUUUGAAUUCAGCUAAGCCCACAAGAAGUAUUUUGGUUGCUUGAAAUAUACUGAAGAGAUUUUUAUUUUCAAACUGAAGAAGGAAUUUAGUUCAAGCAGCUGUUUUUAAAUCUUUUCAGUCUCCAAUUCUAAUAUACUCAGACUGUUUUUAAAGGGAAAAAGUAACUUAUUUUACUGAACAUUUAUAAAUAAAAGGUGUUAUGAAAAAAAUAAUUUGUCUACAAAAUACAAUGA